UCCACCAAGCCAUGCUCAGCCACUGAGUGAGCUUCUUGCCAUAGGGCAGGCCACAUCCCUCUAACAAAGCCAAGCCUGAGUCAGAGAAUGGAGGCUGACUAUCGGGAUUCUUUUUCCUCCCAAUUAGGUGGUAAACUACUUGAAGGUCACCUGACUUCAAGGCACCCAUCUUAAGAUGGUUCAAGACACUUCACUCGAGGAGCAUGUGUGACAGAAAGAACCUUUGUCUGAAGUCUGGAGACUUGACACAGAUUCCUUAUGUGACCUCAAAGAACCUCUUUUGGCCUCAGUCUAUUUAUCUGUCAAAUAGGAAUAAUAAAAUAGCUAAGAUUUACAUAGUACUUAAUAAAAUAUUUUCAUUGAAA